rnacentral:lncRNA from 1 species
UCUAAAAUACAUACUCAGUCAUUGAGUCAUUAGAAUGACGAGAACAAUUUAUUGAAGCGUUCAGCUGAUGAACAAUAAAGAGACAUAAGGAUCAAAUCAUUCAGUUAUUACGUCAACAUUAGCCUUUCGGUUAUCAAUAAUAUUUCUUAAAAUCUUAAUAAAUUAAUAAUUAGUGAUAAAAUAGCCUUCUCAUUUUUACAAAAAGAGUUUGAAAUUAGAGCUCAAUGCCUGCUUGCAUUGCAUUCAAUUGUACUUCAAGAACACCGGCUUUUUCUAGAUCCCCAGAGUCUGUUGUGAAACUCCGAGACCUCUUGCACGAGCCCUCAUAGACUUGAGGGGAUUGGACUGGGCUGUUUUCUUUCACUCAUCCGAGUCAAGUUUGGCCUUUUUGACAGAGCCUUUCUUCCUCUGAAUUGUUUCAGACUUGUUGACCGCUUAGAGGGUGAUCCUGGAGACGCCCAACUGAUUGGAGUGCGAGAAUGGAAAUUCGUAGAUUACGUUUAAGUGUCAUUUUCUCGACUUGUCGAAAGAAAACAUAUAGGCUAGAGUGCUGAGGUUUCAUUUGUUUUCUUACAUAAAAGUCCAGAAAAAAAAUCGGUGCAGGAUUUGAAAGCAAAUCAAAAUCAUAAAUUUCAAGUUUCUGUGAUAGAUGAAAAAAAUGGAAGGACUGAGAUUGAAAAUGAUGCUGGUGGAGGAAAGAUACUGAGGGAUGAUUAACAAAUAUUGUUGAGAAUACUAAAUUUAUCCAAAAAGCCACUAAAAUUAGAAAAUACAAAUACACAAGUGUUGUGGAGUCCUGGAGAGGAGGAAACGAAGAGACUGAGAGGAAGCAAAUACGUAUGUUAGUAAGAACAUUUUAUGAAUAUUUAACUUGUAUCAGUACAUUAAUAACGACGGAAUGCAAGACAUGAAAUAUAUGAGCAAGAAAUUUACAGAAUUUUAAGAAUGUAUCGAGUAUAUUAUAAAUAAAUAUGAGACCAUAUUUUGUGUACAUAAAUAGAAAAUAGAUAAAUUUCAAUAUAAAUACCACGAGACCUAUCAAACAUAUGACUUAGCAGAGUUCACACACGACAGAAAUUGUAGGGAUGGGAAAAGAGGGAUAUGGACACUUAUGAAGAGAUGGUCAGGGAUACAUAUGAUAAGAAUAUUGUGUAAAAGCUACCCUUAUGGGUAUUUAACAUAAGACCAAUAUGAGUAUAAGUUAUGAUAAGUAUGAUAUAAGUUCAGCCAAUGGAGUGGAAUGUCUAUAAUGCAAAUUAAUAUCGACCGAAUGGAGAAAAAUCCCACUUUUAUGAAGAAAUGUAUGAGGAUCUAAGUAAACUGGAAGACUAUAUUAUUUUGAUUGGAAACCUUAAUCUCUUUAAAGAACACUUCUUAAGUUACGAGGGAGAGUACCAUCUUAAAACUAGAGCUGCUCUUGAAUUUGAAUGGAGAUGAUAAAUGCAGUCAAAUAUUACCAUAGUGAUAGAUUCAUUGGAACUUGGUUAAACAGAGACAGAGAAAAUAAGAGCCGAGUAGGAUCAUAUUUACAUCUAUAGAACAGGCUUCUAAAAUAAAUGCAUGGUGCUGGUUUGGAGCUUUAAAUCUAAUCAUAAAGCGCCUAUGAUGAGUUGGUCAGUGUCACAUCAAAAAAAGAGGGGGAUAUUACCAAAUCAACUACUCCAAACCGGAAGUGUCUUUCAAAAAAUAUCGAAAGUUCUAAGCCUAGCCAUUGAAAAUUUAAAAAAAGAUUAAAAGAACGUUAGAAACACAACUAAGGUCUUUUCAGUAUCAUCAGAAAAAUUAAGAUUGAAGAGAUUCGAUGAGAAAGACAAUCAAAAGAUCAGAGGAUUACAAAGAUAGAGCCUCAACUCCAUGAUAGCCGAUCGCACUCUCAACAAGUACGAAUUCCACAAAAAAAAUAUUAGUCUAUAAAAGAGAUAUUUCCGUGUAUAAAUAUUUGGAAUAUAUGAGAAAAGUGUUACCAGAUAUGCAUUAAUAGUUGAAAUAACUAUGGCUUGAAUGGAAAAAGACGAAAAUUGCAGCCAAAUAGUGGAGUAGUUUGUGUGACCUGGAUGUGGCCGAAGAGAUCUAUGAAUAAAUCCUAGCCAAAAUUGAUCAUAGAAUGAAGAAAAAAGUUUCCCAAAGAUGGCGACGGCACAGUUUUUGUUCAGGAUUUCAAUGUUUAUAUCAGUAAGAAGUUGAAAAAAGACAAGUCUAUCAGGGAUUAGUGGUAUUACGUUGCCCUUUUUCAAAUUAUUAUGUGAAGAAACUGUAGAGUUGUUUGAUUGCUGAGAGAGUAUGUAAAACAGCGAAGAUCUCUUCUGUCCUAAAGAGGAGAAAUAAUAACUCUUAUUUCCAAACCUGGGAAAAUAUAUCUGAUGCGAAAAAUCUAAUACAAAUCUCAUUUUUAGAGAAACUCUACAAGAUCAUAAAGGAUACGGUCAGACAUAAGGUGAUGCCAAGAUUAUCUGAAGUUAUUCCUGAAGAACGAAAACUUUUAUAACAAAUAUAAAAAGAAUUAUUUUUCAUAUGUGAACAGAGUAUAUUUCAAGCUAACUUUAUUCUAGAAGAGGAGCUUGUUAAGGAGUCUAAUAUAACCUAAGUUGUUUAAUUUAACACCGGAUCCUUUGAUGGGAAAAAUAAACUAUUAUGAGGUUCUUGGAGUAGAUUUUCUGUGGUAAAAAAGUACUUCUCAAUUCUAUGCUGACGUGAGUUAUAUCUUCAUAGAGGGUUCUUCC